GAUGAAGAACUUAGCGAAAUGCGAUACUUGGUGUGAAUUGCAGAAUCCCGUGAACCAUCGAGUCUUUGAACGCAAGUUGCGCCCGAAGCCAUUAGGCCGAGGGCACGCCUGCCUGGGCGUCACACGUCGUUGCCCCCCCAUCUACUCCUUCGGGAUUGCGGGGGGCGGAUGAUGGCCUCCCGUGCGCCUCGCCGCGCGGUUGGCAUAAAUGCCAAGUCCUCGGCGACGCACGCCACGACAAUCGGUGGUUGCGAAACCUCGGUUGCCCGUCGUGUGCGGUCGUCGCGCAUCGAGGGCUCGAAAAAAUUGCCGGGUUCCGGCUCGGCUUUCAACGCGACCCCAGGUCAAGCGGGGUUACCCGCUGAAUUUAAGCAUAUCAAUAAGCGGAGGA
rnacentral:misc_RNA from 1 species